rnacentral:rRNA from 1 species
UACGGAGGGGGCUAGCGUUGUUCGGAAUUACUGGGCGUAAAGCGCGCGUAGGCGGACCUGCAAGUCGGGGGUGAAAGCCCGAGGCUCAACCUCGGAACUGCCUUCGAUACUGCGGGUCUCGAGUCCGGGAGAGGUGAGUGGAAUUCCUAGUGUAGAGGUGAAAUUCGUAGAUAUUAGGAAGAACACCAGUGGCGAAGGCGGCUCACUGGCCCGGUACUGACGCUGAGGCGCGAAAGCUAGGGUAGCAAACGGG